UACAGAGGUGCUCGAGCGUUAGGCGGAAUCACUGGGCUUAAAGCGUGUGUAGGCGGAUCGUUAAGUGCCUUGUGAAAUCCCCACGGCUCAACCGUGGAACUGCUUGGCAUACUGGCGGUCUUGAGCAACCUAGGGGCGAGCGGAACAAAUGGUGGAGCGGUGAAAUGCGUAGAUAUCAUUUGGAACGCCAAUGGUGAAAACAGCUCGCUGGGGGUUUGCUGACGCUGAGACACGAAAGCCAGGGGAGCGAACGGG
rnacentral:rRNA from 1 species